rnacentral:rRNA from 1 species
AUUGAACGCUGGCGGCGUGCUUAACACAUGCAAGUCGAUCGGUAACGCGGGGGCAACCCUGGCGACGAGAGGCGGACGGGUGAGGAACGCUUGGGAAUCUGCCUAUCAGCGGGGGACAACACGGGGAAACUCGUGCUAAUACCGCAUACGCUCUACGGAGGAAAGCCGGGGACCGCAAGGCCUGGCACUGAUAGAUGAGCCCAAGCCGGAUUAGCUAGUUGGCGGGGUAACGGCCCACCAAGGCGACGAUCCGUAGCUGGUCUGAGAGGACGAUCAGCCACACUGGAACUGAGACACGGUCCAGACUCCUACGGGAGGGAGCAGUGGGGAAUAUUGGACAAUGGGGGAAACCCUGAUCCAGCGACGCCGCGUGGGUGAAGAAGGCCUGCGGGUUGUAAAGCCCUUUCGGUAGGGACGAAAGCUCUCGACCUGACACGUCGGGAGGUUGACUUAACCUACAAAAGAAGCACCGGCUAACUCUGUGCCAGCAGCCGCCGCCGUA